rnacentral:rRNA from 1 species
UACGUAGGGUGCGAGCGUUAAUCGGAUUUACUGGGCGUAAAGCGUGCGUAGGCGGCUUUUUAAGUCGGAUGUGAAAUCCCUGAGCUUAACUUAGGAAUUGCAUUCGAUACUGGGAAGCUAGAGUAUGGGAGAGGAUGGUAGAAUUCCAGGUGUAGCGGUGAAAUGCGUAGAGAUCUGGAGGAAUACCGAUGGCGAAGGCAGCCAUCUGGCCUAAUACUGACGCUGAGGUACGAAAGCAUGGGGAGCAAACAGG